UACAGAGGGUGCGAGCGUUAAUCGGAGUUACUGGGCGUAAAGGGCGCGUAGGCGGUUAGAUGUGAGUGAUGUGAAAGCCCUGGGCUUAACCUGGGAAGUGCAUCGCAGACUAUGUAACUGGAGUAUAGGAGAGGGUGGCGGAAUUUCCGGUGUAGCGGUGAAAUGCGUAGAGAUCGGAAGGAACGUCAAUGGCGAAGGCAGCCACCUGGCCAAAUACUGACGCUGAGGCGCGAAAGCGUGGGGAGCGAACAGG
rnacentral:rRNA from 1 species